UUGAAAGACGAUGGAGAGAGGAACUUAAUAUUUUUCUUCUGUUCUUCAUGUUUAAUGGGAGAUACUUUCCUUUAAAAGAAGUCAGUGAUGUACCACAAGGCAUGAGACUUCCAGAGGUUCUCAAUCAAAGUUAUCAACGCUGGGGUUUGUGUAUCCCACCCUGUCCACACCAGUCCACAAACAAGGUCUCUGAGAAGACAGAAAGAAACAAAGAUACUACAGGGCAGCAACUGGAGCUACUGCAUGACCACAGGAAGGUGGAGCACCACAUUAACCUGCAAUUCCAUUCUCUACUUGAGCUACAUUACAAAAACAUGCAAUGCUCCAGAGACAGAACUGUGUGAGUAGGUUGAAAACAUUCCUUUUGUUUGUUUGCUCAUUUCUUGCCUCCAAGCAGGGACUCAUUGUGGCUGCUGAGAUAUGUGUGCACAUUUUGAACUAGUGUUUUCCUGUUAAAAAUACAUUCAACAAGGUGAAACCCUAUGAGUGAGGAGGUAUUGAGAGAGACAUUCAUGAAGUCUAAGGAGAUUCACUCA